rnacentral:misc_RNA from 1 species
UCCCGGUUAACCCGGGCAGUCUCACUAGAGUUCCCGCCUUUAUGCGUUGGCAACUAGUGAUAAGGGUUGCGCUCGUUGCGGGACUUAACCCAACACCUCACGGCACGAGCUGACGACAGCCAUGCAGCACCUGUGCAGCAGCCCCGAAGGGAGACGCCAUCUCUGGCGCUGUCUACUGCAUGUCAAGCCUGGGUAAGGUUCUUCGCGUUGCAUCGAAUUAAACCACAUGCUCCACUGCUUGUGCGGGUCCCCGUCAAUUCUUUUGAGUUUCACCCUUGCGAGCGUACUCCCCAGGCGGUAUACUUAUCGCGUUGGCUACGGCACAGCCAGGGUUGAGUCCGGCUACACCUAGUAUACAUCGUUUACGGCAAGGACUAC